GAUCCUGGCUCAGACGAACGCUGGCGGCGUGCCUAAUACAUGCAAGUCGAGCGCGGAAGCUUGUCNGAUCUCUUCGGAGUGAAGCGAGUGGAACGAGCGGCGGACGGGUGAGUAACAACGUGGGCAACCUACCUAUAAGACUGGGAUAACUCCGGGAAAACCGGGGCUAAUACCGGAUAACACUUUUCUUCACAUGAAGGGAAGUUGAAAGAUGGCUUCUUGCUAUCACUUACAGAUGGGCCCGCGGCGCAUUAGCUAGUUGGUGAGGUAAGAGCUCACCAAGGCGACGAUGCGUAGCCGACCUGAGAGGGUGAUCGGCCACACUGGGACUGAGACACGGCCCAGACUCCUACGGGAGGCAGCAGUAGGGAAUCUUCCGCAAUGGACGAAAGUCUGACGGAGCAACGCCGCGUGAACGAAGAAGGUUUUCGGAUCGUAAAGUUCUGUUGUUAGGGAAGAACAAGUACCGUUCGAAUAGGGCGUA
rnacentral:rRNA from 1 species